UGCGCAGGCGGGCUUGUAAGUCAGUGGUGAAAUACUGCCGCUCAACGGUAGAACUGCCAUUGAUACUGCAAGUCUUAAAUAUGGUUGAGGUAGGCGGAAUGUGUCGUGUAGCGGUGAAAUGCAUAGAUAUGACACAGAACGCCAAUUGCGAAGGCAGCUUACUAAGCCAUUAUUGACGCUGAGGCACGAAAGCGUGGGGAGCGAACAGGAUUAGAUACCCUGGUAGUCC
rnacentral:rRNA from 1 species